rnacentral:rRNA from 1 species
GAUGAACGCUAGCUACAGGCUUAACACAUGCAAGUCGAGGGGUAACAGGAGAGAAGCUUGUCUUUUCUUGCUGACGACCGGCGCACGGGUGAGUAACGCGUAUCCAACCUUCCCCUUAGUAGAGGAUAGCCCGGCGAAAGUCGAAUUAAUACUCUAUGUUUUCCUUGUUGGGCAUCUUAUGAGGAACAAAGACUCGUCGGUAUGGGAUGGGGAUGCGUCUGAUUAGCUUGUUGGCGGGGUAACGGCCCACCAAGGCUACGAUCAGUAGGGGUUCUGAGAGGAAGGUCCCCCACACUGGUACUGAGACACGGACCAGACUCC